UGCAAGUCGAGCGGGCGUAGCAAUACGUCAGCGGCAGACGGGUGAGUAACGCGUGGGAACGUACCUUUUGGUUCGGAACAACACAGGGAAACUUGUGCUAAUACCGGAUAAGCCCUUACGGGGAAAGAUUUAUCGCCGAAAGAUCGGCCCGCGUCUGAUUAGCUAGUUGGUAGGGUAACGGCCUACCAAGGCGACGAUCAGUAGCUGGUCUGAGAGGAUGAUCAGCCACAUUGGGACUGAGACACGGCCCAAACUCCUACGGGAGGCAGCAGUGGGGAAUAUUGGACAAUGGGGGCAACCCUGAUCCAGCCAUGCCGCGUGAGUGAUGAAGGCCCUAGGGUUGUAAAGCUCUUUUGUGCGGGAAGAUAAUGACGGUACCGCAAGAAUAAGCCCCGGCUAACUUCGUGCCAGCAGCCGCGGUAAUACGAAGGGGGCUAGCGUUGCUCGGAAUCACUGGGCGUAAAGGGUGCGUAGGCGGGUUUUUAAGUCAGGGGUGAAAUCCUGGAGCUCAACUCCAGAACUGCCUUUGAUACUGAAGAUCUUGAGUCCGGGAGAGGUGAGUGGAACUGCGAGUGUAGAGGUGAAAUUCGUAGAUAUUCGCAAGAACACCAGUGGCGAAGGCGGCUCACUGGCCCGGUACUGACGCUGAGGCACGAAAGCGUGGGGAGCAAACAGGAUUAGAUACCCUGGUAGUCCACGCCGUAAACGAUGAAUGCCAGCCGUUAGUGGGUUUACUCACUAGUGGCGCAGCUAACGCUUUAAGCAUUCCGCCUGGGGAGUACGGUCGCAAGAUUAAAACUCAAAGGAUUUGACGGGGGCCCGCACAAGCGGUGGAGCAUGUGGUUUAAUUCGACGCAACGCGCAGAACCUUACCAGCCCUU
rnacentral:rRNA from 1 species